GUCACUUUUGCUACAAUUGGAAAAGUAUCUUCGGAAAUAUAAAUGGUGUUUUCCUCGUCAAAUGUUACUUUUCACAGCGUUCGAGACGUGGGUGCAGUUUGUUACAUUUGACAGAUCGGCAGAGCACAC